GACGAACGCUGGCGGCGUGCUUAACACAUGCGAGUCGAACGAUGAAACCUAGCUUGCUAGGUCGAUUAGUGGCGAACGGGUGAGUAACACGUGACUAACCUGCCCCUUUCUCUGGGAUAACGCUCCGAAAGGAGUGCUAAUACCGGAUACUCACACCGAGGCACAUGCCUUGGUGUGGAAAGUUUUUCGGAAAGGGAUGGAGUCGCGGCCUAUCAGCUUGUUGGGGAGGUAACGGCUCACCAAGGCGACGACGGGUAGCCGGCCUGAGAGGGCGACCGGCCAAACUGGGACUGAGACACGGCCCAGACUCCUACGGGAGGCAGCAGUGGGGAAUAUUGCACAAUGGGCGCAAGGCUGAUGCAGCGACGCCGCGUGAGGGAUGAAGGUCUUCGGAUUGUAAACCUCUUUCAGUAGGGACGAAGCGAAAGUGACGGUACCUAAAGAAGAAGCACCGGCUAACUACGUGCCAGCCGCCGCCGUAA
rnacentral:rRNA from 1 species